rnacentral:rRNA from 1 species
UGAGCAACCUGCCCCGAAGACCGGGAUAACACCGGGAAACCGGUGCUAAUACCGGGUGCCCUCAUCAUGUCGCAUGGCGAGAUGAGGAAAUGGAUUCCGCUUCGGGAUGGGCUCGCGGCUUAUCAGCCUGUUGGUGAGGUAACGGCUCACCAAGGCGACGACGGGUAGCUGGUCUGAGAGGAUGAUCAGCCACAGUUGGGACUGAGACACCGGCCCAGACCUCUACGGGA